rnacentral:tRNA from 1 species
GGAGUAGCUCAGUGGUAGAGCGCAUGCCUAGCACACAUGAGGUCCUGGAUUCAAUCCCCAAUACCUCCA